AACGCACAUUGCGCCCAUUGGUAUUCCGAUGGGCAUGCCUGUUCGAGCGUCAUUAUCCUCCCUCAAACCUCGGGUUUGGUGUUGGACCGGGUUGUUCGCCUGAACAACUGGUCUGAAAGACAAUGACGGCGUCCGUGGGACCCUCGGUGCAACGAGCUUCUUUGUGAGCACGCGUCGAGUUUCAAGGACCUUCCGGGCCGGUCUCCCUUAUUACUCUUCUAAGGUUGACCUCGGAUCAGGUAGGAAUACCCGCUGAACUUAA
rnacentral:misc_RNA from 1 species